AUCACCUUUAAUUCAAUCCGAGAGGUUGGGAAGGUGAGUCGCCAUUCGAAGAGACAGGAUGCAACACUGUCUGUUUGAGUACAGGCUCCCUUCCCUUGUGGAAUGGAGUCUUUUUUUA
rfam:Tumebacillus flagellatus strain GST4 Contig029, whole genome shotgun sequence.